rnacentral:rRNA from 1 species
AAUGAACGCUGGCGGCAUGGAUUAGGCAUGCAAGUUGAACGCUCUCUUCGGAGAGAGUGGCGAAAGGGUGAGUAACGCGUGAGUGAUCUGCCCCCAAGACUGGAAUAACUGUUGGAAACGGCAGCUAAUACCGGAUGUGAUUACAUAACUGCAUGGUUUUGUGAUUAAAGAUUUAUUGCUUGGGGAUGAGCUCGCGUCCCAUUACGCUUGUUGGUAAGGUAACGGCUUACCAAGGCUGUGACGGGUAGGUGGUCUGAGAGGAUGGUCACCCACACUGGGACUGAGACACUGCCCAGACUCCUGCGGGAGGCUGCAGUCGAGAAUCUUCCGCAAUGCGCGAAAGCGUGACGGAGCAAUGCCGCGUGAAGGAUGAAGGCUUUCGGGUCGUAAACUUCUGUCAGGGGGGAAAAAUAUUGAUGGUACCCCCAGAGGAAGCCACGGCUAACUACG